AGGGCACCACCAGGAGUGGAGCCUGCAGCUUAAUUUGACCCAACACGGGAAAACUCACCCGGCCCGGACACUGGAAGGAUUGACAGAUUGAGAGCUCUUUCUUGAUUCAGUGGGUGGUGGUGCAUGGCCGUUCUUAGUUGGUGGAGUGAUUUGUCUGGUUAAUUCCGAUAACGAACGAGACUCUAGCCUACUAAAUAGAUAGUCGGCUUACAAACGUCGACUAGACUUCUUAGAGGGACAGGCGGUGAUUCAACCGCACGAAACAGAGCAAUAACAGGUCUGUGAUGCCCUUAGAUGUCCGGGGCCGCACGCGCGCUACACUGAAGUGAUCAGCGUGCUUUUUCAGCCUACUCUGUCAAGAGUGGGAAACCCAAUGAACCUUCUUCGUGAUUGGGAUAGGGGAUUGUAAUUAUUCCCCUUGAACGAGGAAUUCCCAGUAAGCGCGAGUCAUAAGCUCGCGUUGAUUACGUCCCUGCCCUUUGUACACACCGCCCGUCGCUACUACCGAUUGAAUGUUUU
rnacentral:rRNA from 1 species